rnacentral:rRNA from 1 species
GACAGAGGUGGCGAGCGUUGUUCGGAUUUACUGGGCGUAAAGAGCGCGUAGGCGGUUGCAUAUGUCAGAUGUGAAAUCCCAGGGCUUAACCCUGGAAUGGCAUUUGAAACUGUGCGACUUGAGGACAGGAGGGGGAAGUGGAAUUCCCGGUGUAGCGGUGAAAUGCGCAGAUAUCGGGAGGAACACCUAUGGCGAAGGCAGCUCGCUGGGACGUUACUGACGCUGAGACGCGAAAGCGUGGGGAGCAAACAGG